CCUACGGAUAUAUUAAUUUUUAGAGUGAGAAGUCAAGUUAUCUUUUGAGGGAAAAAUAUCUAAUAUUUAACAAGCUCGAUGAYUUCUUUUUGACUCAUGCAACUAUUUUUAGUAUUUAAAUAUUGAAUAUCUAUAGCUUUCAGCUAUAUUGCAGUUUGGUCUUAGCUUUUAAUUUAGCUGAGUAAAAUUUAAAGCCUAUGUAUUUCAUUUGUGUAUGGAUUUAUUUUUGACAGAGGACUUAGAGCUGCCAUUAAAUAAGUUUACAUUAUGAAGUGAUUUUUAAAUGUAUUUUUCAGGAGAAAUCAUGAGAGAUGAUGUAUGUAAAAGCAGGAAAUGCGAAGAAUUGCUGAACAACAUCAAUUUUUCCCAUAUGACCUUCUAGCAAAAGACUGUAUCAACAAGCUAACUGACAAGACCAGUACACUUCAAUUCAUUGCCUUCCUUCCAUGCCUUAGGAUGAUUUGUGUAGACAUAGUACAGUGGUGCAGUGUUUGUUCUGUGACCUUCUGGAUAUCAUGUCGCAAGUCAAAAGCACCUCAGACUUACAGAGGAUCGCUUCUUUUUCGACAUCAGAGGAAGCGUCAGCUGUGGGAACGCGCCACCAUCUGCAAUUACAGUCCUGCCCGGCGCUCUGCAGCUCUCUGAAGUAGGAGGAGAUCACUGUAUGUGAGAGAAAUCCUGAGAGAAGCCUCAAAAAUGGCUAAGCAACUGAAGAGUUUGAUUAAUCAGGAGAGAUCAAAAGCGCUGCAGGAAUUAAGUCUGGCCAGAUGAUUAAGAUG
rnacentral:lncRNA from 1 species